GUGGGUUGGGUGCAGGAAUUGGGGUAGAUGGGACUUCACAGCAUGAUUUGGGGGAGAGAAAGAGAGGGGGUUGGGUGCAUGAUUUGAGGGUAGGUUGAGGGAAUGGGUUUCUGGAUUGCACUUUCUUCUCUGUUUCUUUUUUCCUUCGAGCAUCCGACAAUACUGAUAUAACAUCGGGUGUAAUGUUUUCCUCUUUUCGUUUUCUUUUUCCCAAUUUGUUGAAUUUGUAUUUUAUUGUUUGCAUAUUACCCUUUGACGGCAAGGUAGCGAUUGUGAUGGCUUCCACUCAGGGCAUCGACUCUUAAAGGUGCCUCCGUCGUCAUCUCUUCUCGCAAGCAGAUCACAAUACAACUAGCUUCCCGUCGAAAAACGCCCUGCCCUCACUUUCUUGAUUAUCGGUUGGAAAUGUAAAAAUGGAUGAGCUGAGAAAAAAAGAGAGGUUAGUUUUCUGCAUUUGCAUCUCUCUGAUUUUUUCUUGUGCUGAGUCCUUAACACUAUUUCUGUUAUCGAAGUAACUGUUUACAA